rnacentral:rRNA from 1 species
GGACUGCAGGCUGCAACCCGCCUGCACGAAGCCGGAGUUGCUAGUAAUCGCGAAUCAGAAUGUCGCGGUGAAUGCGUUCCCGGGUCUUGUACACACCGCCCGUCACACCAUGGGAGUCAGCAACGCCCGAAGUCAGUGACCUAACCGAGAGGAAGGAGCUGCCGAAGGCGGGGCAGGUAACUGGGGUGAAGUCGUAACAAGGUACC